rnacentral:rRNA from 1 species
GAGUUUGAUCCUGGCUCAGAUUGAACGCUGGCGGCAGGCCUAACACAUGCAAGUCGAGCGGUAGAGAGAAGCUUGCUUCUCUUGAGAGCGGCGGACGGGUGAGUAAUGCCUAGGAAUCUGCCUGGUAGUGGGGGAUAACGCUCGGAAACGGACGCUAAUACCGCAUACGUCCUACGGGAGAAAGCAGGGGACCUUCGGGCCUUGCGCUAUCAGAUGAGCCUAGGUCGGAUUAGCUAGUUGGUGAGGUAAUGGCUCACCAAGGCGACGAUCCGUAACUGGUCUGAGAGGAUGAUCAGUCACACUGGAACUGAGACACGGUCCAGACUCCUACGGGAGGCAGCAGUGGGGAAUAUUGGACAAUGGGCGAAAGCCUGAUCCAGCCAUGCCGCGUGUGUGAAGAAGGUCUUCGGAUUGUAAAGCACUUUAAGUUGGGAGGAAGGGCAGUAAAUUAAUACUUUGCUGUUUUGACGUUUACCGACAGAAUAAGCACCGGCUAACUCUGUGCCAGCCGCCGG